GACAGAGGUGCCAAGCGUUAGGCGGAAUCACUGGGCUUAAAGCGUGUGUAGGCGGAUUUGUAAGUACCUUGUGAAAUCCCACGGCUCAACCGUGGAACUGCUCGGUAUACUGCGAAUCUUGAGCCACUUAGGGGCUACCGGAACAAAUGGUGGAGCGGUGAAAUGCGUAGAUAUUGGGAGGAACACCAGUGGCGAAGGCGGCUCACUGGACCGGAACUGACGCUGAGGCGCGAAAGCGUGGGGAGCAAACAGG
rnacentral:rRNA from 1 species